rnacentral:lncRNA from 1 species
CUAUUAAUUUAUAGCACCUUAUGAAUAAUGUAACUUUAUGUAUAUUAAAGGGUUAAAUGCACCAGAAUUAUCUAAACUUUCGUUCAUUUGUACAUAGCUAUCUAAACUUCAAAAUUUUAUGUUUAUCGAAAUUGUACAAUUAAUCACGGAGAUUCGAUUUUAAGUAGAAAAAAAUUUGAUUAAAAUAUAAAUUACAUUAAAAUGUUUUAAAAAAUUAGAUUAAAACAUAAAUUUUAAAAUUUAAGAUAAAUAUUUGUAAGCGUGAAUUUUAUUUUAUUUUAUUUUCAAAGAGCUCUCAUGCAUUUGACCCAUAUUAAAAUUAUUAAAUUGAUGAAGAUAUUUCAGGCCAAGCAAUCCUAUCAAUACAUUUUUAAGUAAGCUGUAUAUCUUACACCUUCUUUUUUCAAGAACUAUUAUUUUUUUUACUUAUCAUAUUAAUUUUUUUAUUAAAUUUUACCGUAAGAUUUAUAUCUUUUUCGAGGUAUAUAAAUAAAAUUUUUCUUUCGAUCACCCCAAGGAAA